GACGAACGCUGGCGGCGUGCUUAACACAUGCAAGUCGAACGGAAAGGCCCUGCUUUUGUGGGGUGCUCGAGUGGCGAACGGGUGAGUAACACGUGAGUAACCUGCCCUUGACUUUGGGAUAACUUCAGGAAACUGGGGAUAAUACCGGAUAGGAGCUCCUGCUGCAUGGUGGGGGUUGGAAAGUUUCGGCGGUUGGGGAUGGACUCGCGGCUUAUCAGCUUGUUGGUGGGGUAGUGGCUUACCAAGGCUUUGGCGGGUAGCCGGCCUGAGAGGGUGACCGGCCACCUUGGGACUGAGGUACGGCCCAGUCGCCUACGGGAGGCAACAGGGGGAAACAUUGCACAGUCGGCGGACGCCUGAUGCGGAGACCCCCGGUGCGGGAAGACGGCCUUCGGGUUGGAAACCGCUUUCGCCUGUGACGAAGCGUGAGUGACGGUAACGGGUGAAGAAGCACCGGCUAACUACGUG
rnacentral:rRNA from 1 species